AUGUACACACGCACCGAGCCACCGACGCACCACGCACGAGCACGAGACGAGAGAAACCUAGCCUUGAGCCUUCCCGUUCCAGUUCCUCUUCCCAUGGACCAGGAGGCGACGCUGAUGCCAAUGGCGGAGGAGCUCCUCGUCUUUUUUGCGGAAGACACGGCGCCCAUGCCCAGGAGCUGCACCAUGCCUGCAUCCGCCGGUGGGGAGGAGCGACGGCCCGGACCAAGCGCCGCAGCACCAGAGAGGGUCCCGGCAGUAGCAGACACCGGGGAGCCGAGGGAGGGGACAGUGGAGCGAUUGGCUCCAACACCUCAGUCAAUCUGUAAGCCUAAGGAUAGGAUUAGAAGAAGAUUCAUUGCAAAAGGGGCUUGUCGACCAAAAAAGUAUGCUUUUCCACAACACCCUGCUGGAGGAUUUAGAAACUGGAAUCACAAGGAUAGUUUUCUGAAACAUGAAGGUGGAAUCAAUAGUGCACACAACAAAGCACAAGAAAAAUACAAUUUCUUCAUUGCACCCAAAACAACAAUUGUAGAGUCAUUUUCCUCAACCACCAAACAAGACAAGAUUCUAUAUAUUGCUCGCUUGGCAUAUUCUCUUAAAUGCCCGAGGUUUCUUUUGUGUCAAGGGUUAGCUUUCCGUGGACAUGAUGAAAGAGAAGUUUCACUAAAUAACGGUAGUUUCCUUGAGCUUCUACAUUGGCUAGCAGAGAAUUUUGAAGAAGUGGACAAGGUGGUUCUUAAGAAUGCUCCAAAGAACAAUAAAAUGGUAGCUCAUGAAAUACAAACAGACCUCAUCAACUCUUGUGCCAAAGAAACUACUAGGCUUAUGAUGGAAGAGCUAGAUUCAAUUGAGUUGUUGAGAGAUGAUGGUGGAUGGGAAACUUUUCUUGAAGAGGUUACUUCUUAUUGUGUCAAGCAGAAAGUCAGAGUUCCUCAAAUGGGUGGUCAGUACAAGCCUCCUGGAAGACCCUCAAGAUUCUACAAAAAUCUCACGAAUCUCCACCACUUCCAUGUUCAGAUGUUUUUGGCUCUUAUUGAUAGGCAACUUCGAGAGCUUGGAAAUAGAUUUGAUGAGGAAAACUUGGUUAAGCUUGCACAUCUCUAUCCUUUGGAUUUCACGGAGGAAGAUUUGAUGCAUAUUCCAUAUCAACUUACACACUUCAUUACUGAUAUGCAUAGAGAUGAGAGGUUUAGAAAGUAG
rnacentral:rRNA from 1 species